rnacentral:rRNA from 1 species
UACGAACUGUGCAAACGUUAUUCGGAAUCACUGGGCUUAAAGGGUGCGUAGGCGGCUUGUUAAGUAGGGUGUGAAAUCCCCCGGCUCAACCGGGGAAUUGCGACCUAAACUGGCGAGCUGGAGUGAGAUAGGGGUGUGUGGAACUUCCAGUGGAGCGGUGAAAUGUGUUGAUAUUGGAAGGAACGCCAGUGGCGAAAGCGACACACUGGGUCUCAACUGACGCUGAGGCACGAAAGCCAGGGGAGCAAACGGG